UACGUAGGGUGCAAGCGUUAUUCGGAAUUACUGGGCGUAAAGCGUGCGCAGGCGGUUCGCUAAGACAGAUGUGAAAUCCCCGGGCUUAACCUGGGAACUGCAUUUGUGACUGGCGGGCUAGAGUAUGGCAGAGGGGGGUAGAAUUCCACGUGUAGCAGUGAAAUGCGUAGAGAUGUGGAGGAAUACCGAUGGCGAAGGCAGCCCCCUGGGCCAAUACUGACGCUCAUGCACGAAAGCGUGGGGAGCAAACAGG
rnacentral:rRNA from 1 species